CUGUAUGUUGUGCUGUAAAAUAGUUAACUUUCUAUCCAUUCUGAUUGACAUUUUUAAUAAACAAUUCUUUAAUAGUUGAUGAAUUGACUGGACAAAUCUUAGCUACAGCAACGUGUUCUCCUUUGCAAUUGAUACACAAAGGGAGUAUGCAUAGACCAUAACUUACUUGCUCAGGUAGAACAUUACCAGCAAAGGUGACUGAGACGGUCUGCAAAGGGACGACACCUUCAGGGGUCCUCUUGGUGAAUCUUCUCACAGCCAAGAUCUCCUGCGAACUGAUCAAUUUGUCAAAAAGAUGCCGGUUGCUCAAUUCAGUUGGAAUGAAUUUGAUUACUCCUGUUCGCUCUGAGUUGGAGGCAGGAAUGAAUGCCUUGAUUUCGUGAGAUGAUAGAAAGGCCGAAUUAGACAGUAAAGAGUUGGCGUUUUUCGGGUUAUCGAAAUAUACAGCAUACCGCAAUGCA